UGUAUGUAGCUCAGUAGUAGAGCAUUUACCUAGAAUCCUUGCUCAAGAUCCUGGGUUCAAUCCCAGCACUGCAA
rnacentral:tRNA from 1 species